CUUUUAACGAGGAUCCAUUGGAGUGCAAGUCUGGUGCCAGCAGUCGCGGUAAUUCCAGCUCCAAUAGCGUAUAUUAAAGUUGUUGCGGUUAAAAAACUCGUAUUUGAAUCUGUGCCGCACACCGUCAGUUCACCGCUCGCGGUGUUUAACUGGCGUGAUGUGGGACGUUCUACCGGUGGGCUUAGCCUCGCGAGAAGCGGCCCAACUAAUAUCCUGUCGCGGUGCUCUUUACUGAGUGUCGAGUCGGACCAGUACA
rnacentral:ncRNA from 1 species